rnacentral:rRNA from 1 species
GAUGAACGCUGGCUACAGGCUUAACACAUGCAAGUCGAGGGGAAACGACGGGGAAGCUUGCUUCCCCGGGCGUCGACCGGCGCACGGGUGAGUAACGCGUAUCCAACCUGCCUCUGACUGAGGGAUAACCCGUCGAAAGUCGGCCUAAUACCUCAUGGCAUCGUCUGCGGGCAUCCAACGACGAUUAAAGAUUUCAUCGGUCAGAGAUGGGGAUGCGUCUGAUUAGCUUGUUGGCGGGGUAACGGCCCACCAAGGCGACGAUCAGUAGGGGUUCUGAGAGGAAGGUCCCCCACAGUGGAACUGAGACACGGUCCAAACUCCUACGGGAGGCAGCAGUGAGGAAUAUUGGGCAAUGGGCGAGAGCCUGAACCAGCCAAGUAGCGUGCAGGAUGACGGCCCUAUGGGUUGUAAACUGCUUUUAUGCGGGGAUAAAGUGAGGGACGUGUCCUUCAUUGCAGGUACCGCAUGAAUAAGGACCGGCUAAUUCCGUG